rnacentral:rRNA from 1 species
GAUGAACGCUGGCGGCGUGCCUAAUACAUGCAAGUCGAGCGAACAGACGAGGAGCUUGCUCCUCUGACGUUAGCGGCGGACGGGUGAGUAACACGUUGAUAACCUACCUAUAAAACUGGGAUAACUUCGUGAAACCGGAGCUAAUACCGUAUAAUAUAUUGAACCGCAUGGUUCAAUAGUGAAAGACGGUUUUGCUGUCACUUAUAGAUGGAUCCGCGCCGCAUUAGCUAGUUGGUAAGGUAACGGCUUACCAAGGCAACGAUGCGUAGCCGACCUGAGAGGGUGAUCGGCCACACUGGAACUGAGACACGGUCCAGACUCCUACGGGAGGCAGCAGUAGGGAAUCUGGAGCAAGGGGCGAAAGCCUGACGGAGAAACGCCGCGUGAGUGAUGAAGGUCUUCGGAUCGGAAAACUCUGUUAUUAGGGAAGAACAAAUGUGAAAGUAACUAUGCACGUCUUGACGGUACCUAAUCAGAAAGACAAGGAUAACUACGUG